rnacentral:snRNA from 1 species
UUACUUACCUGGACGGGGUCUAUGGUUGAUCAAUAAGGAUCAUGGCCUAGGUUGGUGACCUCCAUUGCACACAGGAGGGGCACUAGUCUAACAUCUCCCCAAGUGGGAGAGUGUACGUCAUAAUUUGUUGCUUUGGGGGUACGCGUUCGCGCGGCCCCUG